ACGGAAGGCAGCAGCUAAGAAUAUUCCGCAAUGGGCGAAAGCCUGACGGAGCGACGCCGCGUGGAUGAUGAAGGCCGGAAGGUUGUAAAAUCCUUUUAUACAUGAGGAAGAAGCAGUGCAGGAAAUGGUAUUGUGGUGACUGUAGUGUAUGAAUAAGCAACGGCUAAUUACGUGCCAGCAGCCGCGGUAACACGUAAGUUGCGAGCGUUGUUCGGAAUUAUUGGGCGUAAAGGGCAUGUAGGCGGUUCUGCAAGCUUGGUGUGAAAGGCAGGAGCUUAACUCCUGGACUGCGUUGAGAACUGUAGAACUAGAGUGACUGAGGAGCAAUCAGAAUUCCAGGUGUAGGGGUGAAAUCUGUAGAUAUCUGGAAGAAUACCAAUGGCGAAGGCAGGUUGCUAGCAGAUGACUGACGCUGAGGUGCGAAGGUGCGGGGAGCAAACAGGAUUAGAUACCCUGGUA
rnacentral:rRNA from 1 species